AGUGAUGGUAGGUCAGCAGUGAUGGUAGGUCAACAGUGAUGGUAGGUCAACAGUGAUGGUAGGUCAGCAGUGAUGGUAGGUCAGCAGUGAUGGUAGGUCAACAGUG